AUUGAACGCUGGCGGAAUGCUUUACACAUGCAAGUCGAACGGUAGAGGGGGCAACCCCUCGAGAGUGGCGAACGGGUGAGUAAUAUAUCGGAACGUGCCCAGUCGUGGGGGAUAACGUAGCGAAAGUUACGCUAAUACCGCAUACGAUCUAAGGAUGACAGCCGGGGAUCGCAAGACCUCGCGCGAUUGGAGCGGCCGAUAACAGAUUAGGUAGUUGGUGGGGUAAAGGCUCACCAAGCCAACGAUCUGUAGCUGGUCUGAGAGGACGACCAGCCAAACUGGAACUGAGACACGGUCCAGACUCCUACGGGAGGCAGCAGUGGGGAAUUUUGGACAAUGGACGCAAGUCUGAUCCAGCCAUUCCGCGUGCAGGAUGAAGGCCCUCGGGUUGUAAACUGCUUUUGUACGGAACGAAAAGGUCUCUCUUAAUACGGGGGACUCAUGACGGUACCGUAAGAAUAAGCACCGGCUAACUACGUGCCAGCCGCCGCGGUAA
rnacentral:rRNA from 1 species